AACGCUGGCGGCGCGCUUAACACAUGCAAGUCGAGCGAGAACCAGGACUUCGGUCCUGGGGACAGCGGCGAACGGGUGAGUAACACGUGGGUAAUCUGCCCUCGGUUCCGGAAUAGCCCGGGGAAACCCGGAUUAAUGCCGGAUAGCCUCUCGAGCCCUCGAGCUCGCGAGAAAAGGUAGCUUCGGCCUCCGACCGAGGAUGAGCCCGCGGCGGAUUAGCUUGUUGGUGGGGUAACGGCCUACCAAGGCGACGAUCCGUAGCUGGUCUGAGAGGACGAUCAGCCACACUGGGACUGAGACACGGCCCAGACUCCUACGGGAGGCAGCAGUGGGGAAUCUUGCGCAAUGGGCGAAAGCCUGACACAGCGACGCCGCGUGGGGGAAGAAGGCCUUCGGGUUGUAAACCUCUUUCAGGAGGGACGAAGCCACUCGGGUGAAUAGCCCAGAGGGUGACGGUACCUCCAGAAGAAGCCCCGGCUAACUACGUGCCAGCCGCCGCGGUAAGAC
rnacentral:rRNA from 1 species